UGGCUGUAGCUAUAUAAUCAGCAGAAGAUAAACUGGUCGGUUGUUUUUAUUUUCAGUAGACAAACCGCUUACCAAACUUCUGACAUUU